ensembl:lncRNA
ACGCUUACAUGACUUCAUUAGAAUAACAUAUUCAAAAGCUAGUAAACGUAUCUGUGGUGGAGCUGUGCUGAGCUUACUCGCUCUUCAAGCCGCUGUAUGCUGGCCAUUAUAUUUCAAGAUGUUUUUGUUCUCUGAAAGAGACCACAACUUGGGUGAGGCUCAGAAUUGCAGACAAACUUUGUCUCAGAGAUUCUAGCUGUAUUUCUUUUCUUUGUACCUUGUAUCUAACAGAAAGUGACACCAAGCUCUGAGUGGGCCUGGGAUGGUGUGAGUAGCUACUGCCGAGACAGCUGAGCAAGCUCCUUGUAAGGCAAUAAGGGAGUGAACCACUUCUACCUGGAGGUGCCUGCUUCUUUCUCGGGCAUCAUGCUACUAGCCAGGCUAUGUAGUACAGGUGUGUAGGAUGACAUACAUACCCUGGAGACAGGAUUCAUGUUCUUCUAAGAGUAGAACAUGAAUCUGAUGAGAAAAGAGAAAGAGAAGGAUGAGGAGAAAGACUUUCACACAUGAAACCACAGUCUUCCGGGAUGACUGAAAACGGCAAAAUGAAAGAAACAAUCCAUUCUUCAGACAGUGUCAGACUAAGAGGUAAAUAUAGCUGAGCCAUUUUUUUUAACUCAUUAACUGGUUAGGAUAAACAAGUGUGAUUUUCUUCAGCUGGCUAGAAUGCAUUAGAGAUGUACCUGUUUCUCUUCAAUACGGUUUAAACAUUCAUUAAGAGUACACUUUUUUUUUUUUUUUCCUCUAGAUAAAACAUAUCCGGAUUCAGCUGUUGCCUCUUAAAGCUUCCUGUUCCUCUCACAAAAACUACUGGAAAAGUGCUCUUCCCUUUGCAGGACCUUCUACAAACAGACUUCAGUAAUUCCAACAGCACUAACAUACUGUUGGUCUCUGCUAAAAGCCCAGUGAGAAUCAAUGCUUUUUUAUUAAAAGGUUUGUUAUGGAUUAUUUUGUCCUUGUGUAUUUCACUGGUGAGGACCAGAGUACCUCACAGAGGAUCUGAACUGACUAUCUGAGCUCUGCCAAACAGAACAGCCCUGGUUUACCUGGUCUCCCACGACAACAGACUUGAUGGCAGCCAAAUAGAUCCAGAGGCAGCCGAGCGUGACAGCCGACAUCAAAGCGAGAAUGCCACACCUUGAUCCGGAUUUCACUCUACCUGCCGGGGCAAACUUAUUAACGUGACCACCCUGAGAAUUCAAAGGAGCAAACACACACAGCCACACAAAACUCAACCACUCAAAUUUGAAAAUGAAAAUAGAAGUCUAGACAGCUUUUCUUCAGGAUUCAUUGCUGCUGACCUAAUUAUUUGGAGCCUGUGCUUUAUCUUAUUCUUUUCAAAGAACAAGAAGAAUAGUUAAUUUCACUUAAUAGAAUAAUUGAAUGUCAUAAUUGCAGGGUUUCUUUUUUCUUUUUUUUUCUUUUUUUUUUUUUUUUUUUCCACUUCAGCAAUAAUGUAUUAGUUAAGCUGCUAACAAUCAGGCUGCUCACACAGUGAAUUAGUUACUUUUUUCUUUCUUCGCUGGACUAUUUGGACUAACCUAAAUUGAUAAUGAUU